UACGUAGGGUGCAAGCGUUGUCCGGAAUUAUUGGGCGUAAAGAGCUCGUAGGCGGUUUGUCGCGUCUGCGGUGAAAGCCCGGGGCUCAACCCCGGGUCGGCCGUGCGAACUGUCGAGCUGGAGCACUGUAGAGGCAGGUGGAAUUCCGGGUGUAGCGGUGGAAUGCGUAGAGAUCCGGAAGAACACCGGUGGCGAAGGCGGCCUGCUGGGCAGUGGCUGACGCUGAGGCGCGACAGCGUGGGGAGCAAACAGG
rnacentral:rRNA from 1 species